rnacentral:rRNA from 1 species
CACCUAGGUGACAAGCGUUAUCCGGAUUUACUGGGCGUAAAGCGCGCGCAGGCGGUUCGGUAAGUCAGAUGUGAAAUCCCCGGGCUUAACCUGGGAAUUGCAUUUGAUACUGCCGAACUAGAGUAUGGGAGAGGGAAGUGGAAUCUCCGGUGUAGCGGUGAAAUGCGUAGAGAUCGGAGGGAACACCAGUGGCGAAGGCGGCUUCCUGGCCCAAUACUGACGCUCAGGCGCGAAAGCGUGGGGAGCAAACAGG